rnacentral:rRNA from 1 species
GAUGAACGCUAGCGGCAGGCCCAAUACAUGCAGGUCGAACGGUGUCUUCGGACAUAGUGGCGCACGGGUGCGUAACACGUAUGCAACCUACCUUACAUUGGGGGAUAGCCUUUCGAAAGGGAGAUUAAUACCGCAUAAGACAGUAGCUGGGCAUCCAGCAGCUGUUAAAGAUUUAUCGAUGUAAGCUGGGCAUGCGUCCAAUUAGCUAGUUGGUGAGGUAACGGCUCACCAAGGCAAUGAUUGGUAGGGGAACUGAGAGGUCAAUCCCCCACACUGGCACUGAGAUACGGGCCAGACUCCUACGGGAGGCAGCAGUAGGGAAUAUUGGGCAAUGGACGCAAGUCUGACCCAGCCAUGCCGCGUGCAGGAUGAAGGCGUUAUGCGUUGUAAACUGCUUUUAUACAGGAAGAAACGACUCUUGCGAGAGGCAUUGACGGUACUGUAUGAAUAAGCACCGGCUAACUCCGUGCCAGCCGCCGCCGUAAGAC